AACACCAUAGUUUAAGAUGCC
rnacentral:siRNA from 1 species